CUGUCAAUCUAUCUAUCACUGUCAAUUUAUCUAUCACUGUCAAUCUAUCUAUCACUGCUAAUCUAUUACUGCUAAUCUAUCACUGCUAAUCUAUCACUGCUAAUCUAUCACUGCUA
rnacentral:sRNA from 1 species